AUUUGUCAGGUUUGAGUCAACAGGUGUCGUACCGAUGUGUGUAUCCCCGACAGAAUGAGUCAGGAGCAUGCACCAGGGAGGAAGACACAGAUUCACUCCACUGGGCCAGGAAAUUUGUGAAAUAACUGAAAGAUGGGUGUUGUUACUUUAUUGUUCAGACUCUGGGUGAAAGUGCUACAUUUUAUCCAGAUGCUAUCCGGUCACUUUAGCUGUGAACACAUCUUGUCCUCAGCUGUCUACUGGCUGCUAGCAAACACCAACAUUUAACCAAGGUCUGUUGUUGUUCCUCCGGAAGCCCAGCAGAGAACAUUCCCACUGACCCCAGAAGCUACGUUAACAUGUCUGAUGUUCAUGAUUCUGCUGCACUGCCACCAGUGCAGAGGUGGAUGAAUCACCAGGAUGAAGCAUAUGAAACUUCUCUAAAUCCAGAGCUGAUGGAGCAGAUCGGCCAACCAGAAGCUGUUUCCUGACCACUUCAGGGCAGCAGGAGAGAAGAAACCUUCAAGCUUCCUGGACCAUCAAACACUCAUCACUGGAAAACCGCCACAGUGUAACGGAAUGAAAUGACUGUUUUCCACCUAAAAGUCAUUCCCCCCCCCCCCCCCCCCUCCUCAGCAAGAACUAAUCUGCAUGAGACAUUGCUCAAGGUCUCAUGCAUGUGCUUCUAAAACUUUUCCUUUCCAGCCCAAGAGAAGAUUGAAGACAAAGGACUCUUUCUUUUUAAUAAAUCAAAGAACUCUAUUUUUAAUAAGCUAAUCAAACAAAGUGUUAGUCAAUAAAAAAUGUUGACCAAACUGUGAAAUGACAAUGUUAUGAUUAGUAUGUGUACUUUAAUCUAGCUGCACUAGACAUCCAGAUACACGUAAUGUAAACGUAUGACACAUUGCUUUUACUCGUCCAAUCGGAACCUUCCUUUCUGAAGCAUGGCAUAGUCUCUGUGGUGUUUAUAAAUCUGUCCAACUUUGAUUCGACCGUAAAUCAAAACAUCCAGAUUAAUAAAACUAGUCCCCACGCCAUCUUAGUCCAGUUCUCUGAGUACUCUACAGUUCACCGCAUUCUAAGAGAAGUAUCGGACCGGCCACCCGGACUUCCUUUUUAAGCAAAGAACCAACAAGCUGGAUAAAAUCUGUUGCAUUUUACCAACCAAGCAACGGUUCCUUUCAGAAUAAAAGCUGAACUCACUGGCCCUCUGGGUCCAUCUAACGCUGUCAACCAACUGUCGCUUUUUACCUGGAGACAAUCCAAAGACUAGUCUGUCGUACUGCUGACGCUGUUUCAUCGGCUCCGGUACCGAAAGGGGGGUCAGAGGACCUGGCAUUCUGGAUCUGUACGGAGGUCUCAUCCUGAAGGGUAUGUGUACAGCGACAAAAUGGCGUCUUAUAUGUUUAUGAAACUAUGAUCAUAGCUUAAGAGCAAAACAUCACAACAUCACUCAGACUUGCUUCUCUGGAUAUGAGAGUUCUGAUGACAAACAUUACUCACACAUACACCAUUCAUCUCAUGUCUCAUUCACACCAAGAUCCAGCCAUUCACUUAGAAUUUAGUUAGUCUUGUUUAAAAUUGUUUAGAAAUAAAUCUUCUUAAAUUUCAAAGGUGACUCUCUCUUCUCUUGUCUCUCAGUUAAUAGGAAGUGUUACAUAAUCCCUGCAAUAAAAAGUUCCAAUCUUCUGGUUAAAAGUACCCAAAGAUCCAUAAGA